rnacentral:rRNA from 1 species
ACCCUGUCUGCGCCCGAUCUCAUCUGAUCUCGGAAGAUAAGCAGGGUCCCGCCUGGUUAGUACUUGGAUAGGAGACCGCCUGGGAAUGCCAGGU